CAACCAAACAUCGAAAUACAUAUACAACAUAACAUUAAACAUUUACAAGCCACAAUGGCAUUUAAAAGUGAUACAAAAGUCACUACAUAUGUGGUUUGCCAAAACAAAAGUGAAAACGGCCCUAAUGAUACAUUUAGGGUCCCAUUUUAUAUACAAUACCAAAGAGUCAUUUAUCUAGUUCAUUCGGCAACCAUUUAUCAAAAUUCUUUCCAAAAGAGUCAUAAUCCUGUAAGGAAAACAAAAGGAACGGGGUGAGCUAAUUGCCCAGUGAGAAUACAACUCAAGCCACCAAGUUCAUAGAUGCAUCAAGUUGAACAGUCCAAUUGACCAAAAAUAAGUAAAGCCACACAUUAAGAAUGAGGAUAAAGGAUACGGGUGGCUCUCAAGAGCCCUUUUCCUCGUUUGCAUUCUUGAUCGGAUCUCAUUGACUCUCCGUCAAUGUUUGAAAGUAACCAACCGUAGACUUCACUUAACUUCCAUUCCCUUCCUCCUAACAUUCCUCAACCGGGCCCGAAAUCCAAACGCAUGCAUUGUGGUAUUACUCGAGUAAACCGGAAUCAAGAGUCUCUCAUACUACAAGAUUCCAUAUAACGUUGCCCAAGGUACAUUAAUUGGCACGACCAAACCCUCGCCGGCUCGAUUCAAUCAAUUUCCAAUGGGAUUGAGCUCAUGGAUAAUAUUUGAAGUCAUUGAUAACAUUGAUAACAUUUGUAUUUCAUUU
rnacentral:lncRNA from 1 species